UCCGUAGGUGGCAAUCGUUGUCCGGAAUUAUUGGGCGUAAAGCGCGCGCAGGCGGUUCCUUAAGUCUGAUGUGAAAGCCCACGGCUCAACCGUGGAGGGUCAUUGGAAACUGGGGGACUUGAGUGCAGAAGAGGAGAGCGGAAUUCCACGUGUAGCGGUGAAAUGCGUAGAGAUGUGAAGGAACACCAGUGGCGAAGGCGGCUCUCUGGUCUGUAACUGACGCUGAGGCGCGAAAGCGUGGGGAGAAAACAGG
rnacentral:rRNA from 1 species